CAGGACUCGAAAGGCUCCCGUAAUCACUGUGAACUUACUUAUAUUCGUUGCCUCGGCGGGUGCCCUGGACUUGUGUUCGGGGCAUUCAGCCCGCCGGUGGCCUACAACUCUGUCUCGCGCGUUGGCAUCUCCGAGUCAUUUUAAACGAGUCA
rnacentral:misc_RNA from 1 species